rnacentral:rRNA from 1 species
GGGUUGUGAGGUUAAGCGACUAAGCGUACACGGUGGAUGCCCUGGCAGUCAGAGGCGAUGAAGGACGUGCUAAUCUGCGAUAAGCGUCGGUAAGGUGAUAUGAACCGUUAUAACCGGCGAUUUCCGAAUGGGGAAACCCAGUGUGUUUCGACACACUAUCAUUAACUGAAUCCAUAGGUUAAUGAGGCGAACCGGGGGAACUGAAACAUCUAAGUACCCCGAGGAAAAGAAAUCAACCGAGAUUCCCCCAGUAGCGGCGAGCGAACGGGGAGGAGCCCAGAGCCUGAAUCAGUGUGUGUGUUAGUGGAAGCGUCUGGAAAGGCGCGCGAUACAGGGUGACAGCCCCGUACACAAAAAUGCACAUGCUGUGAGCUCGAUGAGUAGGGCGGGACACGUGGUAUCCUGUCUGAAUAUGGGGGGACCAUCCUCCAAGGCUAAAUACUCCUGACUGACCGAUAGUGAACCAGUACCGUGAGGGAAAGGCGAAAAGAACCCCGGCGAGGGGAGUGAAAAAGAACCUGAAACCGUGUACGUACAAGCAGUGGGAGCACAGAGCAAUCUGUGUGACUGCGUACCUUUUGUAUAAUGGGUCAGCGACUUAUAUUCUGUAGCAAGGUUAACCGAAUAGGGGAGCCGAAGGGAAACCGAGUCUUAACUGGGCGUUAAGUUGCAGGGUAUAGACCCGAAACCCGGUGAUCUAGCCAUGGGCAGGUUGAAGGUUGGGUAACACUAACUGGAGGACCGAACCGACUAAUGUUGAAAAAUUAGCGGAUGACUUGUGGCUGGGGGUGAAAGGCCAAUCAAACCGGGAGAUAGCUGGUUCUCCCCGAAAGCUAUUUAGGUAGCGCCUCGUGAAUUCAUCUCCGGGGGUAGAGCACUGUUUCGGCAAGGGGGUCAUCCCGACUUACCAACCCGAUGCAAACUGCGAAUACCGGAGAAUGUUAUCACGGGAGACACACGGCGGGUGCUAACGUCCGUCGUGAAGAGGGAAACAACCCAGACCGCCAGCUAAGGUCCCAAAGUCAUGGUUAAGUGGGAAACGAUGUGGGAAGGCCCAGACAGCCAGGAUGUUGGCUUAGAAGCAGCCAUCAUUUAAAGAAAGCGUAAUAGCUCACUGGUCGAGUCGGCCUGCGCGGAAGAUGUAACGGGGCUAAACCAUGCACCGAAGCUGCGGCAGCGACGCUGAUGCGUUGUUGGGUAGGGGAGCGUUCUGUAAGCCUGUGAAGGUGUGCUGUGAGGCAUGCUGGAGGUAUCAGAAGUGCGAAUGCUGACAUAAGUAACGAUAAAGCGGGUGAAAAGCCCGCUCGCCGGAAGACCAAGGGUUCCUGUCCAACGUUAAUCGGGGCAGGGUGAGUCGACCCCUAAGGCGAGGCCGAAAGGCGUAGUCGAUGGGAAACAGGUUAAUAUUCCUGUACUUGGUGUUACUGCGAAGGGGGGACGGAGAAGGCUAUGUUGGCCGGGCGACGGUUGUCCCGGUUUAAGCGUGUAGGCUGGUUUUCCAGGCAAAUCCGGAAAACUAAGGCUGAGGCGUGAUGACGAGGCACUACGGUGCUGAAGCAACAAAUGCCCUGCUUCCAGGAAAAGCCUCUAAGCAUCAGGUAACAUCAAAUCGUACCCCAAACCGACACAGGUGGUCAGGUAGAGAAUACCAAGGCGCUUGAGAGAACUCGGGUGAAGGAACUAGGCAAAAUGGUGCCGUAACUUCGGGAGAAGGCACGCUGAUAUGUAGGUGAAGUCCCUCGCGGAUGGAGCUGAAAUCAGUCGAAGAUACCAGCUGGCUGCAACUGUUUAUUAAAAACACAGCACUGUGCAAACACGAAAGUGGACGUAUACGGUGUGACGCCUGCCCGGUGCCGGAAGGUUAAUUGAUGGGGUCAGCGCAAGCGAAGCUCUUGAUCGAAGCCCCGGUAAACGGCGGCCGUAACUAUAACGGUCCUAAGGUAGCGAAAUUCCUUGUCGGGUAAGUUCCGACCUGCACGAAUGGCGUAAUGAUGGCCAGGCUGUCUCCACCCGAGACUCAGUGAAAUUGAACUCGCUGUGAAGAUGCAGUGUACCCGCGGCAAGACGGAAAGACCCCGUGAACCUUUACUAUAGCUUGACACUGAACAUUGAGCCUUGAUGUGUAGGAUAGGUGGGAGGCUUUGAAGUGUGGACGCCAGUCUGCAUGGAGCCGACCUUGAAAUACCACCCUUUAAUGUUUGAUGUUCUAACGUUGACCCGUAAUCCGGGUUGCGGACAGUGUCUGGUGGGUAGUUUGACUGGGGCGGUCUCCUCCUAAAGAGUAACGGAGGAGCACGAAGGUUGGCUAAUCCUGGUCGGACAUCAGGAGGUUAGUGCAAUGGCAUAAGCCAGCUUGACUGCGAGCGUGACGGCGCGAGCAGGUGCGAAAGCAGGUCAUAGUGAUCCGGUGGUUCUGAAUGGAAGGGCCAUCGCUCAACGGAUAAAAGGUAC